UAACUGCUGUGAUGAAUCUAUGAAAUCAUUCACAUGUCAGACUUCAGAGAUUUUCUCUCUCGAGGGAAAAUCGGUGAGAGUGAAAAUUCAUAUUUCUGAGCAGAUC